GGAGUUGUUAAACUUAGCAACAAUGAAUUUCUAUCUAAAACAAAACAUAGAGUAACACUCCCAUUAGUACACCGAAGAGCACCCUGAGAGGCCAUUAUCCUUGUGGUCACUGUAAGUGUUGUCCUCAAUCUUGGAAGACUAAGGAGAUAUAUAAUCAUAGGAACAAAGUGGGCACCACACUAAAACAUUUUUCUACUUGUAAUAGCAGCAAUGUAAUCUACCUCUUGACAUGUGACUGUGAUCUCUGGUAUAUCGGAAAAACAACCAGAUCCUUGAGAAUCAGAAUCUCUGAACAUAAUCCAGAAUCAAAAAUUUAUCUACAGAAUCCCUUUUUAUAUUCACACUUCACCCAAUAUAAACAUUCAUCUACCUCAUUUAAAUUUUGUGCUCUGGAAUGCAUCUCUCAAAAACCUUUCAUGGACUUGGAAAAACUAUUAUCCCAAAGGGAAAUGUACUGGAUCUUUAAGUUUAAAACCUUUUCCCCUCAGGGACUUAAUGAAUCACUUAAUUUUAGCUGUUUCCUUUAAACCUUCAAGUACUCUUUAAAAACCUUUGAAUGAACCUCCAGAAUUACUCGCAGUUGAAAUCACCACAAGCAGAGUCACUCAGUGAAAGCAUUUAGCACUAUAUAGAAAUUCAUUGUUGCUGAGUUUAACAACUCCUGAAGAAGGGGUUUUUCCCUGAAACAGGGUCAAAAAUACCCGGGACCCCUGUAGACUUGGGACUUUAUUUGGACUUUGCUUUUGAAGACUUUUUUUGAGAGCGGUGCUCCAGCAUUAUUUUCUUCAAUCCAGUAUACAGCAACACGACCAACCAUCUGUUUGGAAGAUAUUUUCAUUGACUGUAUCCCUGAAGCCUAUAUGUAUUGGAACCAAUACCAGACUUGAACAACUUUUGUGUUAGAGCUGUUGCUCCUUUUCAUUUUGUCGGGUACGGUCAAAUUGACCCAAAUAUAAACCAACCAGGAUACUCACCCGAGUAUAAGCCGAGGGGGGCUUUUUUAGUCCUGAAAAACUAGGCUUAUACUCGAGUAUAUAUAAUAAUUAUGAAGUGUGUGAUUUCUAUUAGAAAGAAGUUUAUAUUUUGAUUUAAUUCUGCAUAAACUAUAUACAGUAGAGUCUCACUUAUCCAACAUAAACGGGUUGGCAGAAUGUUGGAUAAGCAAAUAUGUUGGAUAAUAAGGAGGCAUUAAGGAAAAGCCUAUUAAACAUCAAAUCAGGUUAUGAUUUUAAAAAUUAAGCACCAAAACAUCAUGUUGUACAACAAAUUUUACAGAAAAAGUAGUCCAAUACGCAGUCAUGCUAUGUAGUAAUUACUGUAUUUACGAAUUUAGCACCAAAAUAUCACGAUGUAUUGAAAACAUUGACUACAAAAAUGCAUUGGAUAAACCAGAACGUUGGAUAAGUGAGACUCCACUGUAUUAAUAAUAAUAAAUAUAGAGUAAAAUAAAUGUAAUAGUAGCAACAAUAAUAGAGAAAAAUAAUAAAUGUACCAUAUAUUCUCGAGUAUAAGCUGACCCAAAUAUAAGCCAACCAGGACCCUCACCCGAAUAUAAGCCGAGGGGGGCUUUUUUAGUCCUAAAAAAAGGGCUGAAAAACUAGGCUUAUACUCGAGUAUAUACAGUAAUUAUGAAGUGUGUGAUUUCUAUUAGAAAGAAGUUUAUAUUUUGCUUUAAUUCUGCAUAAACUAUAUAUAUAUAUUCUCAAUUUUUUCGAAUUGGUUUCAAGUAUUUGGAUGCCUACCUGUACUUGUUUUUUUCCUAGGCUAUAGAGCCUUAAACAUUGCAACUAGUCUUCAUAAGUUAAUUCUUCCAUUUCUAUUAUCAUUUUGUUUGCCCUUUUCACACAUUUUCUAUAUCUGCAAUAUUUUAAAAGUGCAAUGACCAGAACUUUACACACAUGCUCACAUUGUGGAUUUGUAUACAGGCAAUACGAUGUUGGCAGUGUUAUCACUGAUUUCUUUUCUAAUGAUGCCAAAUUUACAAUGUGCCCUUUUUCUUUUGCUGCAGUCACACAGUAGGUGACAUUUUCAAAGGGAUCUCACCCAUGAAUCCAGAAUUCCUUAGUCUGUUGCUGCCAGUUCAGAUCCCAUCAGGAUACACAUAAAAUUGGGAUAUGUUUUAAUACCAAUAUGAAUCACUUUACACUUUUUGCUUUAUUUUCAUUUAUUUUUAAAGCCCAUUCCCCAGUUAUUUGUGUUGUUUAUCCUAAUAUGUUUUAUGUUUUUUAUAUUGUCUGCCAUCCUGAGAUCUCAUGAUAACGAAUGGAAUAUAAAUAUUGAUAUAAACAAACAUAUAUAAAUAUAAAUACAGUAAAGUCUCACUUAUCCAACACUCGCUUAUCCAAUGUUCUGGAUUAUCCAAUGCAUUUUUGGAGUCAAUGUUUUCAAUAUAUCGUGAUAUUUUGGUGCUAAAUUCAUAAAUACAGUAAUUACUACAUAGCAUUACUGCAUAUUGAACUACUUUUUUUGCCAAAUUUGUUUUCUAACAUGAUGUUUUGGUGCUUAAUUUGUAAAAUCAUAACCUAAUUUGAUGUUUAAUAGGCUUUUCCUUAAUCUCUCCUUAUUAUCCAACAUAUUCGCUUAUCCAACAUUCUGCCGGCCAGUUUAUGUUGGAUAAGUGAGACUCUACUGUAUUGAUAUAAAAAACUGGAGCCUCUGGUGGCGCAGUGUGUUAAAGCCCUGAGCUGCUGAACUUGCAGAGACCCCUUGGGACAUUUAGUCCAAUCCCCUUCUGCCUUUGUGCACCAAAAGCACAAGCAAAGCACCCCUGACAGAUGGCCACCCAGCCUCAAUGUUAAUAAUAAUAAUAAUAAUAAUAAUAAUAAUAAUAAUAAUAAUAAUAAAAUUACGAUCUGCCAACUGCAAAAGGCCACCCUACUGGGAUCUGCACGCAUCAUCCGAAAAUACAUCACACAGUCCUAAACACUUGGGAAGUGUUCGACUUGUGAUUUUGUGAUACGAAAUCCAGCAUAUCUAUCUUGUUUGCUGUGACAUAAUGAAAUAAUAAUAAUAAUAACAAUAAUAAUAAUAAUAAUAAUAAAGAGGGUUGGAAGAGACCCCUUGGGACAUUUAGUCCAAUCCCCUUCUGCCUUUGUGCACCAAAAGCACGAGCAAAGCACCCCUGACAGAUGGCCACCCAGCCUCAAUGUUAAUAAUAAUAAUAAUUAAUAAUAAUAAUAAUAAUAAUAAAGAGGGUUGGAAGAGACCCCUUGGGACAUUUAGUCCAAUCCCCUUCUGCCUUUGUGCACCAAAAGCACGAGCAAAGCACCCCUGACAGAUGGCCACCCAGCCUCAAUGUUAAUAAUAAUAAUAAUUAAUAAUAAUAAUAAUAAUAAUAAUAAUAAUAAUAAAAUGUUUACAUCACACAGUCCUAGACACUUGGGGAGUGUUCGACUUGUGAUUUUGUGAUAUGAAAUCCAGCAUAUCUAUCUUGUUUUCUGUGUAAUAAUAAUAAUAAUAAUAAUAAUAAUAAUAAUAAUAAUAAGGGUUGGAAGAGAAGAAGAGACCCCUUGGGUCAUUUAGCCCAACCCCCUUUUGCCCUUGUGCCGUUGGGGCCGGAUAAAUGGAUUCUAUGGGCCGCAUCCGGCCCGCGGGCCAUAGUUUGGGGACCCCUGUCAUAGACUCUGGGGGAAGAUUCAAGUGGGCCGGCCAUUUGUUCUUCGGGGCAGCUCGCCCGCUAUAAUUGAUCUUUCCACCAUUGAGAAGCUUCCAAGGUCCCUAGGGUUACUUGGGAUAUGGUUGGUAAUGUUCUGCCUUAGUGAAGGGCUUUUUGAUCAAACCAGAAAUCACAAAUCAGCCGUGUCAGCCAUUUUAAAGACAUCCAAACACACUUGACUUGAUGACUGCAGUCAUAAUAAGUAGUAUCUUUGUAAUGAGAAAAUCCGUGUUUCAAAUCCCUGGAUAUACACUGAUGCCAAAUCUAAUGAUAUCAAUCCCUUCACUUUUCAAAGUAGUGCUUAUUAAAAAGGGGAGGGGGCCCUGCGGACUGAAACCAAAUCCAAUUGGAGUUUGUCUGGUGGGGAAAAGACCGUGGAGCAAAUGUAAGAUUAGCUUGUGUGGGGAAUCAUGGGUGGUCAUGCGAUGUACAAUAAACGUGACAGCGGAACAGUCAUAGAGUUCUUCAAUCUUAAUCUUCAACCGUAAGAAAGUCAAACUUUCGUUCCCACCAUCCUGGUUAUACUUUGGUCAAUCUUGACUGUUAUUUAUUUGUUUGUUUGUUUAAAAAGGUAAAGGUAAAGGUAAAGGUUUCCCCUGACGUUAAGUCAUGUCUGACUCUGGGGGUUGGUGCUCAUCUCCAUUUCUAAGCCCAAGAGCCGGCGUUGUCCGUAGACACCUCCAAGGUCAUUUAAUUAAUUAAUUUAUUUACAGUAUUUACAUUCCGCCCUUCUCACCCCGAAGGGGACUCAGGGCGGAUCACAUUACACAUAUAAGGCAUACAUUCAAUGCCUUAACAUAGAACAAAGACAAAACAAACACGGGGCUCCGAGUGGGCCUCGAACUCAUGACCUCCUGGUCAGAGUGAUUAAUUGCAGCUGGCUGCAGCUGGUUGCUCAACUGCCUGCGCCACAGCCCGGCCGGCAUGUGGCCAGCAUGACUGCAUGGAGCGCCAUUACUUUCCCACCAGAGCGGUACCUAUUGAUCUACUCACAUUGGCAUGUUUUCGAACUGCUAGGUUGGCAGAAGCUGGAGCUAACAGCAGGUGCUCAUUCCUCUCCCGGGAUUUGAAACUGGGACCUUUCGGUCCACAAGUUCAGCAGCUCAGCGCUUUAACACACUGUGCCACCAGGGGCCCCUAUUUACAUGGUAUUAUAAUAAUACAGUAGAGUCUCACUUAUCCAACGUAAACGGGCCGGCAGAACGUUGGAUAAGCAAAUAUGUUGGAUAAUAAGGAGAGAUUAAGGAAAAGCCUAUUAAACAUCAAAUUAGGUUAUGAUUUUACAAAUUAAGCACCAAAACAUCAUGUUAGACAACAAAUUUGACAGAAAAAGUAGUUCAAUACACAGUAAUGCUAUGUAGUAAUCACUGUAUUUACGAAUUUAGCACCAAAAUAUCACGAGGUAUUAAAAACAUUGACUGCAAAAAUGUGUUGGAUAAUCCAGAACGUUGGAUAAGCGAGUGUUGGAUAAGUGAGACUCUGAUGUAUUUACAUAAUAUUUAAAUAUGUAAAUAAUAUAAUAUUUACCACGUGGUUGACUGUGCUGGGGAUGCUUUUAACUGAUAGUGGUUUUUUUAUAUCCAAUGUGUUCCCUGCUUGGGUUUUAAUAAUGCUGUACUUACUUGGUUUUAUCUUGUUUUUAAUUAUGUUGGUGCUAAUCCAUGACAUAUGUAGUAUUUGAAGGGCAUAUCCUGACCUUGAUAUUUGCAGCAUUUUAAUGUUUUAAUGAUUUAUAUAGGGUUUUAAUAGCAUGUUUUAUAUUGUA